rnacentral:misc_RNA from 1 species
GAUGAAGAACGUAGCAAAAUGCGAUAAGUAAUGUGAAUUGCAGAAUUCAGUGAAUCAUCGAAUCUUUGAACGCACAUUGCGCCCGCCAGUAUUCUGGCGGGCAUGCCUGUUCGAGCGUCAUUUCAACCCUCAAGCACAGCUUGGUGUUGGGACUCGCGUUAAUUCGCGUUCCUCAAAUUGAUUGGCGGUCACGUCGAGCUUCCAUAGCGUAGUAGUAAAACCCUCGUUACUGGUAAUCGUCGCGGCCACGCCGUUAAACCCCAACUUCUGAUUGUUGACCUCGGAUCAGGUAGGAAUACCCGCUGAACUUAAGCAUAUCAAUAAGCGGAGGA